ACUCUCGUCAUCAUGUCUGGAAGAGGAAAAUGAGAUUGUCAUUGUAAAGUUCCGCUUUAUAAUAGUUGGAGAAUCAUCAAACCGUCUCGCUCGCCGUGUCGGUGUCAAGCGGAUCUCCGGUCUGAUCUACGAAGAGACUCGCGGUGUGUUGAAGGUGUUACUAUGGCAAGCCGUUUUAGCAUUUAAACCUUUGUUCUGACUAUCUAUAAAUAUAUUUUAAGCUAGUAACAAUUGUAUUUUGACGAGUGAUAAUUAUAAUUCGCCUAGUCAGAAUGACAAUUAGAGAUAUCUGCAAUUAUAACUGCACUAGUAAGAAAUCCGAUUUGAGAUAUCUGUAAUAUAUUUUGACUAGUCAAAACUCAAUUUAAGAUAUCUGUAAUGAUGCCAUUGAUAUCUUUAAAAGACGCGUCGUUUAUCCGCAAAGGUAAUUAGAGAUAUCUCUAAUUCGAUUUCGACUAGUCACAAUUGUAUUUUAAGAUAUCUGAAUUGUACUCGCUCCUAGAGGAAUCCACUGUUGCGUGACGUGAAACUACAUUUCCUCAGCACCACCCAGAGUUCCUCCCCUCCUCCCUAACGCUAACAACUUUUUUCCGAGAGAAAAGAUAUGAAGUAGUUCAGGGAUUAUUAAAAGAUGGCGGCAGCUGUUCUCGACAAAAUAGCAAGAAAGUGUCAACAAAUUGAAAGAGCUCAAAGUCAGGGAAAUUGUGGUGAGCGCGAACUUCGUGCGAUAGAUGACUGCUUAAGAAAUGCACAGAGAAUUUUGUAUUUGCUACCUCUUGAGACGUAUGAAGAAUUGAACAGAAAUCUGGAUGAAAUUCGAACAAUGUCAACGCAUUUGCGGAGUGAGGGAACUACAGCUUUUUCCGUUUCUCAAAGGAGCUCAGGUAGCCGAGGUAGACCAGCCAUUCAAAUAACACGUGACCAAAUUGAAUUUUUAAUGAAGCAAGGUCACACAGUCAAGCGAAUGGCAAGAAUGUUAGGGUGCUCAUCCUCAUUUCUGUACAAGAGGUCCAAGCUGCUUGGUGUAUCAAUCAGGAGCAGAAUGUCAGGAGUGGAUGAUGAAGAACUUGAAAAUGUAGUGAGACGACUCCAAUGCCAGUAUCCAAAUACUGGAAAUGAGAUGAUGCGAGCCUUACUGGUUGCAGAAGGAUUGAGGGUUUCCCGGCAUAGGGUUCGUGAGAUGUUGGUCCGUAUCAAUCCAGCGGCUGCUGCAAGGAGAUGGAGUAGCACAGUGGCUAGAAGAGUUUAUCAUGUGCCCUGUCCCAACAGUCUCUGGCACAUUGAUGGCAACAUGCGCCUCAUAAGAUGGGGCUUUGUGAUUCAUGGUGCAAUCGAUGGACAUUCCCGACUAAUCACAUACCUAAAUUGCAACACCAACAACUGUGCUAGUACUGUGCUGUCUCAGUUUAUUCAAGCAACAUGCCUUUACGGUCUGCCCUCUAGGGUAAGGUCAGAUCACGGUGGUGAGAACAUACAAGUGGCCUUGUUUAUGAACCUUGUACAAGGACUUCAGCGCCGGAGUCACAUUACUGGGGAAUCUGUCCACAACCAAAGGAUAGAACGUUUACAUUUACAUUUACAUUUAUGCAUUUGGCAGACGCUUUUAUCCAAAGCAACUUACAGUGCACUUGUUACAGGGACAAUCACCCCGGAGCAACCUGGAGUUAAGUGCCUUGCUCAAGGGCCCAACAGUGGCAUCUUGGUGGUGCUGGGGCUUGAACCCCCAACCUUCUGGUCAGUAACCCUGAGCCUCAACCACUGAGAACAAUCAUUCUACAGCAUGUUCUACAGUCUUGAAGAUUCUGAACUGCUUGAUCCCAGCAAUGACCUUCACAAAGUUUCGCUCAGCAUAGUUUUUCUUCCACAGAUCCAAGCUAGACUACAGCACUUCAAAGAGGCAUGGAAUCACCAUGCUUUGCGGACAGAAAACAAUAAAACACCAACACAGAUAUGGACAGAAGGAAUGCUGUCAAUGAUAGGAACUGACAGCACAGCCAUCAACAAUGUGUUUGGAGACGAUCUCUACAGGCCAGAACAUUUUAAUGAACGUUUGGUUACAUACAUAACCAAACGUUCCCCGGUUCACCUCUCAGGAACCUGAGGAUCAGGUCGUGCUUACCCAAAGACUUGCCGUCUACAGGAUCGUGGUGGGCGGCGAUAGCGGCAA